AGUCGAGCGAGUCUGCCUUGAAGAUCGGAGUGCUUGCACUCUGUGAAACAAGAUACAGGCUAGCGGCGGACGGGUGAGUAACACGUGGGUAACCUGCCCAAGAGAUCGGGAUAACACCUGGAAACAGAUGCUAAUACCGGAUAACAACAGAUGAUGCCUAUCAACUGUUUAAAAGAUGGUUCUGCUAUCACUCUUGGAUGGACCUGCGGUGCAUUAGCUAGUUGGUAGGGUAACGGCCUACCAAGGCGAUGAUGCAUAGCCGAGUUGAGAGACUGAUCGGCCACAUUGGGACCGAGACACGGCCCAAACUCCUACGGGAGGCAGCAGUAGGGAAUCUUCCACAAUGGACGCAAGUCUGAUGGAGCAACGCCGCGUGAGUGAAGAAGGGUUUCGGCUCGUAAAGCUCCGUUGUUGGUGAAGAAGGACAGGGGUAGUAACUGACCUUUGUUUGACGGUAAUCAAUUAGAAAGUCACGGCUAACUACGUGCCAGCAGCCGCGGUAAUACGUAGGUGGCAAGCGUUGUCCGGAUUUAUUGGGCGUAAAGCGAGUGCAGGCGGCUCGAUAAGUCUGAUGUGAAAGCCUUCGGCUCAACCGGAGAAUUGCAUCAGAAACUGUCGAGCUUGAGUACAGAAGAGGAGAGUGGAACUCCAUGUGUAGCGGUGAAAUGCGUAGAUAUAUGGAAGAACACCGGUGGCGAAGGCGGCUCUCUGGUCUGUUACUGACGCUGAGGCUCGAAAGCAUGGGUAGCGAACAGGAUUAGAUACCCUGGUAGUCCAUGCCGUANACGAUGAGUGCUAAGUGUUGGGAGGUUUCCGCCUCUCAGUGCUGCAGCUAACGCAUUAAGCACUCCGCCU
rnacentral:rRNA from 1 species